GACAGCACUGUCACUUCAGUCACGUCUGGAACAAUGCAGAGAUUAGCAUGGCCCCUGUGCGAGGAUGACACACGAAUUUGUGAAGCAUUCCAUGUUUUU